CUCACCUUUUUUUUCUUCACAAUAUAAUGCAGACUUCAGAACUAGAAACUCACAGAAAAUAUGUGUGGAUGGGGAAGAGAGAUCUGGAUAUCUUCUGCAGCUUUUGGCUGAGUGGUAGAAGUGCCUGUGGUAGAGAAGAAGUGACCUGUUUCAUAAUAAAAGAAACGAGAGGAAAGAGUAGUAUUGAAAUGCAGCGUCUUUGGAAGGAAUGGCAGGAGACCUGGGUCGUAAUUCUAGCACUGGCUGAUGUCAAUAAUCAGGUUUCCCCAGCUGGCACAUUGGUCAUCAUGGAGCAGUCAGCAGCUCCUCCUGUCAGGAGCCCAUGGAGCCCAGAGAAACUGUCCUGGCUGUUUCUCUGCAGAACUGGGAUUCCAAUGCACUGCCAGCUUCUGGCACUGCCAUUCAGGGCUUUCCACACAUCGAGUUGUUGUGACAUCCUUGCGCCUCCACGGACUCCUUUGUGCGGCUGUCCAGCUCCCGUGGCACUGUUUCACACGCUGACCUGCUGGGAAGGGGCACUUUGUGAUUAUUGUCAGCGGUGGGAAAGGGUUGUGUCUGUGACUAGAUGA
rnacentral:lncRNA from 1 species